AAUAUCGAUACAGUAUUGUGAAAUGAAGUAUCGCGAUAUAUAGCAGAACCGAUAUGUUCUUACACCCCUCGUCACCAGUUAAACAUUUGUUU